rnacentral:lncRNA from 1 species
CUCCGCCCGAUUCCAAAAGCCCAGGGGGUGGGCCUCGCCCUUCCUCUCCCUCCAGGUUUAAUUAUCUGAAGAGUCUUGGACUUUCAUUUCUUGUUUUUUGCUUGUUUGCUUGUUUGUUUGCACCUGGUUGAUGUAUAAGUCUUGGACUUUGGGAGACCCAAAAGAGAAGGAAGGUGUUGGCAAUAUCCUUGAAGAGACUAAAAGAACUCAGAACAACACUGAACAAGCCAGCAGAGCCAUCAACUCACCCCUACAGUCUCCAUACACAGACUCCAUGAAAGCAUUGGCCAUCAGCUCUCACUGGUUUCUGCCCCAAAUUCACACACUCCCUCCUAUCACCAAAGCCACCCGCCACCGCUGGCCUCCUGCAUGCUGUGGGAGGAGAGGAGGGCAGACAACGUUGCCUCCCCUGACUCCCAUCGCGCGGGCUUGUGAGUCCAUGGAGCGCAGUUGUCCAGGGAACUAUCCGAUGCAGCAUGAGAGGAAGGUGAUGCAGCGGCAUCCCACCUUGAGAUGAGAGAAAGCUGUUCUGGGCUUCCAGUGAUUGGCAGCUGAGGUCACUCCUUUGCCCAUACCCCCGCCCCGAGACUGUUUCCAGUGCCCCAAGUUCACCUCAAGGAUCAUUGCACAGCAGAAAUGUAAGGAGGCCACCAGCCAAGAAAUGCUGUCAGUGCCUGGAAGCUGGAAAGGCAAUGAAAUGGAUUUUCCCCAGAACCUCCAGGGAGAAUAUGGCACAGCUUCUACCUUGAUUUUCACCCAGUGAGACACAUUUUGGAUUUCUGACCUAAAGAAUUGUAAGGCUGCCUGGAUCCCCAGAGUUUGUCUGGAAAGCCUCUUGAGAUGGGGUUAUGUGCUCCGAGGAUCCCAGGAGGAAGGAUGGGGCAAGAGCAGACAAACCUAUGCCUCUACAGCAGCUGUACCGUUGUCCUGGGAGUGAGCCCCAGCCGUGGCUCAAGGCACACGUGCCUCCAGAGGACAAUCUGGGAUGCUCAGGGGACAGAGAGGCAGAGGGACUAUCAGGGUGAAGCUGUCUUUUUCACUUGUUUGGCACUCAGCCCAGGGCCUGGAUUUAUCCUGCACAAAAUGAACAGUGCAGGGCCCUUCAUCUGGGGAAAG